GACGUAGGGUCCGAGCGUUGUCCGGAGUUACUGGGCGUAAAGGGUGCGUAGGCGGUUGUUUUAAGUUUGGUGUGAAAUCUCCCGGCUCAACUGGGAGGGUGCGCCGAAUACUGAAUGACUAGAGUGCGGGAGAGGAUAGUGGAAUUCCUGGUGUAGCGGUGAAAUGCGCAGAUAUCAGGAGGAACACCGGUGGCGAAGGCGGGUCUCUGGGCCGAUACUGACGCUGAGGAGCGAAAGCGUGGGGAGCGAACAGG
rnacentral:rRNA from 1 species